rnacentral:rRNA from 1 species
AGUGAACGCUGGCGGUAUGCCUAACACAUGCAAGUCGAACGGCAGCACAGUAAGAGCUUGCUCUUACGGGUGGCGAGUGGCGGACGGGUGAGGAAUACAUCGGAAUCUACUUUUUCGUGGGGGAUAACGUAGGGAAACUUACGCUAAUACCGCAUACGACCUACGGGUGAAAGCAGGGGAUCUUCGGACCUUGCGCGAUUGAAUGAGCCGAUGUCGGAUUAGCUAGUUGGGGGGGUAAAGGCCCACCAAGGCGACGAUCCGUAGCUGGUCUGAGAGGAUGAUCGGCCACACUGGAACUGAGACACGGUCCAGACUCCUACGGGAGGCAGCAGUGGGGAAUAUUGGACAAUGGGCGCAAGCCUGAUCCAGCCAUACCGCGUGGGUGAAGAAGGCCUUCGGGUUGUAAAGCCCUUUUGUUGGGAAAGAAAAGCAGCAGGUUAAUACCCCGCUGUUCUGACGGUACCCAAAGAAUAAGCACCGGCUAACUUCGUG